UCAUCGGCCUGUCGCAGUCGUCCGUCAGGAACACGCCAUUACUGUCGUUCGCGGGCAAAAACGGUGGGUGGCCUUUUCCGGAGACCACAGACGCGAAGAGCGAACAAAGGCGGCGUUCGCGCGGCUCGGGCGGAUUCCCGUUGUGGUCGGGUGCGUGGAUGGUACGCUCAUCGCAAUCCAGAAGCCCCAUGGCCUGAGCUCCGCGGACACGACGCAUUACAUGUCGAGGAAGGGACUCUACGCAUUCAACAUCAUGAUCACAUGUGAUGCCGACCUCUGGAUGUCAGUCCAUGUUUCCUGGGGUCAUGCCAUGACUCGUGGGUAUGGCGGGGGAGCCCUCUCCGUCAGCACCUGGAAGCAAAACUUCGGCUUGCUUGGAGACUCCAGCUAUACAUUAGAACCGUGACUCCUGACACCAGUGCCCGGACGCCCAGCUCGUGGCACCCCUGAUAACCACUACAACAAGGCCCACACCGCCAUGCGCAAUGUUGUGGAGUGGUGCAACGCUGUAAGCUUGUGCAGAGCUGCACAAGCGUCAUUGCUGCUUGUGCAGCUCUGCACGACAUUGCGUUGGCGGCACAUAAGCCUGUUCUCGAAGGGGACGAUGACGACACAGACGAUGCUGAGCUGCUGCCAGCAGCAGCUGAGCUACCACCACCACAACGGGAGCCAGCAGCAGCGCAACCGUGUAGUGAACCUGUUUCGAGAACCACCGGGCCUGCAUGCUUGAGCAUCUGCGCAGAGUACGCCGCCGCCUGCAACGACCUCGGCAGCAUUGUGUGGUGGCUUCCGCUGCAAUGAGGGCCCGGGCGAGGGUACCAACGCCUUGCAAUUCGUGGACCACGUCACUGAGAAGUUGAACCUGGC